UACAGAGGGGGCAAGCGUUAUUCGGAAUUAUUGGGCGUAAAGGGCGCGUAGGCGGCAUGGCAAGUGGAUGGUGAAAUCCCUCGGCUUAACCGAGGAACUGCCGUCCAAACUGCUUCGCUUGAGACCGGGAGAGGUGAGUGGAAUUCCCAGUGUAGCGGUGAAAUGCGUAGAUAUUGGGAGGAACACCAGUGGCGAAGGCGGCUCACUGGACCGGUACUGACGCUGAGAAACGAAAGCCAGGGUAGCAAACGGG
rnacentral:rRNA from 1 species